GACGAGGUGGCUGAGUGGUUAAGGCGAUGGACUGCGAAUCCAUUGUUGGUCUGUUGGAUAUGAUCCUCGCUU
rnacentral:tRNA from 1 species